rnacentral:rRNA from 1 species
AUUGAACGCUGGCGGCAUGCUUUACACAUGCAAGUCGGACGGCAGCACAGAGAAGCUUGCUUCUUGGGUGGCGAGUGGCGAACGGGUGAGUAACAUAUCGGAACGUACCGAGCAGUGGGGGAUAACUAAUCGAAAGAUUAGCUAAUACCGCAUAUUUUCUGAGGAAGAAAGCAGGGGACCAUUUGGCCUUGCGCUGUUUGAGCGGCCGAUAUCUGAUUAGCUAGUUGGUGGGGUAAAGGCCUACCAAGGCGACGAUCAGUAGCGGGUCUGAGAGGAUGAUCCGCCACACUGGGACUGAGACACGGCCCAGACUCCUACGGGAGGCAGCAGUGGGGAAUUUUGGACAAUGGGCGCAAGCCCUGAUCCAGCCAUGCCGCGUGUCUGAAGAAGGCCUUCGGGUUGUAAAGGACUUUUGUCAGGGAAGAAAAGGGCGGGGUUAAUACCCCUGUCUGAUAGACGGUACCCUGAAGAAUAAGCACCGGCUGACUA